GAUGAAGAACGCAGCGAAAUGCGAUAAGUAAUGUGAAUUGCAGAAUUCAGUGAAUCAUCGAAUCUUUGAACGCAUCUUGCGCUCCUUGGUAUUCCUUGGAGCAUGCCUGUUUGAGUAUCAUGAGCAAAUCUCAAAGUCAAUUCCUUUUGUUGAUUCAAUUGGUUUUGCUUUGGACUUGGAGGCCUUGCAGAUUUCACAGUCUGCUCCUCUUAAAUGCAUUAGCUGGAUCCCAGUAAUUAUGCUUGGUUCCACUCGGCGUGAUAAGUAUCACUCGCUGAGGACACUGUUAAAAAGGUGGCCAGGAAAAUACUGAUUGAACCGCUUCUAACGGUCUAUUAAGUUAGACAAUUACCCUUAAGUUUGAUCUCAAAUCAGGUAGGACUACCCGCUGAACUUAAGCAUAUCAAUAAGCGGAGGA
rnacentral:misc_RNA from 1 species